UCAGGGCAAGCUGCUGCUCACAUGCUGUGAGAAGGGAGAGGAGAAGCUGCUGCACAUCAUACAGAGAUGGCCCAGCCUGUGAGACUGCACUCUGCUGUAGUGUGUAAGAUUGUGAUAUUACACUAUUGAUAUAAGAGAAGAAGUGAGGGAGAUUGACGUUUUUCAAGAUCACGGCGAGCACUGGAAAAAAAAUCCAAUGUACAGCGUCUUCUGGCUCCAGUGAUUUCCUUGCUCCAGUGUCUCCGUGGAACUACAGGCUCCAGCCAUCCAGAUCUGCUACAACUCCUUCCACAGUCAGCUUCCACCUCUGCAUGCACAGGUGUGGCAGUAUCUGGACAUUGCUGUUAUCUGUUUCCAACGAGCAAGCGAAAAUAAAGGGUGAGGCUUGCAAAGUACGGCAUACCCUGUGAGGUCACAUCCCUUGUACGGGUGCCCCUUUAACAGGUGCGAGCGCAAGCACGCACCCACCCAUCCUGCCACCCCCAUCUCACAAAACGCAGUCACGGAUCCAGGGAGCUGCAUGGGCACACACACUGACUGCAAGCACGCCAGCAAGCAAAACUCUUCUCAUGACCUGCCCUCCCGCCCCUGGGACUUGGCAGAGCAUAAUUAUAAUCAUAUAUGGUUGGUUAUAUGAUUAUAAUUAUGUUCUGCCAAGAACUACCUGGAUUGCCUGGUUUUCUGAGUCCAACUCUAGUUCAUACUGAAAGUCUGGAUUGCCGGUCCAUGUCCUCCUGAUACACUGGUCUUUGCCUGAUCAUGUUUCCAGGACUACUUUAGGAGGAACCUCUAAAGAACUCCUUUCUAGACAUUCCCUAUCCAAGAUGCAGUCAGACAUCAAAGCAGCUUAGAACACCAUCUGGAAUCUGCAUCAAGUUGUCAAGGCUUCAAGUGCAGAAAAAGGGUCUGGAAUAGACCUGAAACGCGUUGGUGUUGUGCGAGGAAUUGCCCAGACGACUGUUGGUGAAAGUGACUACGGGUUCCAGGGAGCUGUAAAACCCGGGUGGCUGCCUGAGAUUGCUGUUAUUUCUAUGCGAUUUUGAGAACUUGCCAGGUUCUCUUCUAAUCUGGUAAUUACAUCACCUCUAUUUUCUGGGAUUAUCCUUGUCACUUGUGUGUCAAUUUUUAUCAUAAGGUUUUAUCGAAGUCGUCUGUUUUGUUUGUGGAAAAAUAAAA